rnacentral:rRNA from 1 species
UCUUAGCAACCGAUUUGGUCCUAGUCCUACACUUGGUCCCCUCUAAAUCGAUACAUGCAAGCCCUUCGCAAUACAGUGAGUAAUUAUUCUAAUGGCCACCCUAAAAAGACGUAGUUAUAAAUUAAGGUAUCAAAAAAUUUUCCCCAAUUUAACAACACCUAGCCACCCACAUCUGCAGUACCUAAUAUUAUACAAUAAGUAAAAGCUUGAUAUAGUUAUAGACUUAAGAGCCGGUAAAUUAUGUGCCAGCCACCGCGGUUAUACAUAAGACUCAAGCCAAGAAACCUAUCGGUCUAAAGGUGACUAAAGAUCCUUCCAUUUUAAGACAGAAAAUAACUCUAGUAUUAAUAAGCUUUCACAGUAAACUAAUUACAACUGUAAUAUUGCCUUAAAUUCUUACCCAACUUGAAGCACCAAAGCUCAAAAAUAAACUGGGAUUAGAUACCCCACUAUAUGAGCCUUAAAAAUUCAGAAACACCCAGAGAA